rnacentral:rRNA from 1 species
UACGUAGGGUGCAAGCGUUAUCCGGAAUUAUUGGGCGUAAAGGGCUCGUAGGCGGUUUGUCGCGUCGGGAGUGAAAACCCAGGGCUUAACCCUGGGCUGGCUUCCGAUACGGGCAGACUAGAGGUAUGCAGGGGAGAACGGAAUUCCUGGUGUAGCGGUGAAAUGCGCAGAUAUCAGGAGGAACACCAAUGGCGAAGGCAGCACUCUGGGACGUGACUGACGCUGAGACGCGAAAGCGUGGGGAGCAAACAGG